rnacentral:snoRNA from 1 species
AUGAAAGGGAUGAUUAUUUCCCCAGAUGAUCGAAUAUGAACAAAUUGAGCGAUCUUUUCUCUUUGGAGAAUCCAAGCCAGAAAUCUGAUUCGU